GACUCAUCAGCUUCUUAACUCCUUUAGCUCAGUCCCUAGCCCCUGGCAUAACCUAUUUCAUUGUCUGAAUUUUCCAGUCUCAGACAGAGUUGGCUCAGCCGUGGGAGGUGAAAUUCAGGAAGAGAAACUAAGAAGCCAAGAGAAAAAAAAUGUCUUGUCCAAGACUUUAGAUGGAACGAAGUGAAAAGGUUAACCCUUCCAAUGAUGACACAUGGAAAGAUGGUUUCUGUCUCUAAUAGAGGAAUUGGUUCAGAGGAUUCUUUACUUUCAUUAUUUGCUC
rnacentral:lncRNA from 1 species